GAAUUUGUGUAUGACUACCAGACUCUUCGUAUUGGAGGUCUGACCUUUGUUGCUGUCAUCAUGAUCCUGUCUGUUCUCCUGCUGGCCAGCAACAAAAUCCGCCAGUGUGGAAAGCCCCGGCAAAGAAAGAUUGAAGAGGUUCACCUACCGUAGGACGGCUGGGCACUUGUAUGUUGUUGACUGUAUUGUGUGAGACUGCGUUCCUUUUCUAUUGAUAAACUGUAGACCCAC